AGACUGCAAACAUGUGGAAGGAGGUAUGGGCUGAGGGAACCAACCAGAAAGCCUCGGUGGCAACACCAAUCAGCAAGAGCGUUUAUUUAAAGGGGCAGGGCUAAAGUACAUUUUAGCUGUGCUUGCAGAAAGCUGAGCAGGAAAUAUAAAUAGACCCAACUCUGCAGAGGAGUACAUAACAAAAGAUACCAGCAUGGAGGCUGUGUAGUACGUUGAUAAAGCAGAGAAUGGGUGCUGGGAUUUGUGCAUCAAGUGCUGCUGAAGCUGCUGCUGUCCACAAGGAUCUGGUGAAAACAAGUUUAAAUAUUAACCCCUUUCAAUGCUGCUCAUCCUGACAUGAAUUUCAGGUCACCGAUGUAUUGAAUCCUAUCUGCUUAUCUUUUGUAGUUUUUUGGGUUUGUCCUAAGGGGGAUCCUGUAGAGAGUGUGAGGGAGGAGUCAGAAAGGGAAGGGAAGGAGAAAAUGGAGUUGUUGCUGAAUAUAAACCUUUAGUUAAAUCCACAUAAGAUUUCCUUGUGUGUAUGAGGGAAGCAGCUAUAAAACAUUUGGUGAUGAGAUUUUGAACCAGCUAAGUGUGUGAACCUGCAAAGCUUGUGAAUGUUCCUGCAACCUCAUUUCAUUGCAUUACUGGGCCUACAUGCUUUCUACUCUUGCUGCUGCUGCUGAUUGAUUCUCCAGCUUCCCGACCUGCAAAAACCCUGAAGGAGAUCCUGCUCUUCCCUGGAAACAAUGGACGUCCUAUUUCUGCAAUUCCCUCUUCACUAUACAGACCCCUGAUUUUACUCCAGCAAAGCAGGAGGCUAUACUGCUUCACUGCCUGGACCCUGAAGGCCAGGUCAAGAGGAGAUCCCAAAAGACAAAGAUAAAGGACUAGUAAUUGCACAAAUCCACUCAUGGAGUGAUCACAUCUGAAUGGAAAGGUGGCCCUCAGUGCUGAUCAAGUGCUUACUGAACUUACAUAAUAAUGGAUGGCCAUGCAAAAACAGGAUAUUUGAAUAUCUUCAACCAUAGAUACAAGAAAAUCACCUCUCAACUACUGAGCGGACACAAACCUACCACCAAACUUAUGCAAUGCAACAACUGAUUGGGCUUUCCAUGCCAUCUCACCCUGAGGAUACAGAGAUUUGUGAUUGGGUACGGGUGAAGCAACAACAAUAUAAAUUAUAUGUAAAUCAGAACCAGUGAGAAACAGCGAACAUUUCAGGUGAGGGACUUUGUUAGCAUACGGCUGCCUUAUAAAGGGAUGUUCCAGCUAGUCUGGAGCAAAACAAAUAAUCAAAAUCCAGGGAGAUUUUGUCCUAUUGGAUGAUGAAAAUAAAUGGAAUAGUUUGAGCUUUUCCAGCAUGUAUACGAUGAGACAAGAGGCAGUCUGAUCUCAAGAGAGGAACUGAAGAGGGAUUUGAUCUUGCUUGCCUCUAGUUUUAACCUCACAGCUGAGGCUGAUGAAAGUGAUGGACGAUCCUCUUCUCCUGUGCCAGAGAACCCAAGACUUAGAAGUGUGUGUGACAGGAGACCACCUAGAAAACUUCAAGAUUUUGUCACUAGAUUUUAAAUCAAUCCAAAUUUUGGUUGUUAUAAAGGGGAAGGAUGUGUUAUAUCCUAUCCAGUUAUCUUUUGCAGUUGUUUUUGUCCUAAGGGGGAUCCUGUAGAGAGUGUGGGGAGGAGUCAGAAAGGAAAAGGGAGGGAAAAGGGAAGAAGAAAAGGAGCAGUUGUUGCUGAAUAAACCUUUAGUUAAAUCCACGUAAGAUUUCCUUGUGUGUAUUUCUUUAUUUAUUUUUAUUUAAUACAUUUCUAUACUGCCCAAAAUGCAAGUUCUCUGGGCGGUUUACAAAACAAUAACAACAGCCAAUAAAAGAUUAAAACAGUUCAACAGUUCAAGUCACUGUACACAUAUUCAGAUUGGCACUAUGAACAGAGAAUCGGGGCUUGUGAAUACUGAGCUAAAGUUUAUGAGCUAAGAUUGUAUCCAUUUGCUCUUACUUUGCUUCUUGUGAUAAGUGAGUUAAAUGUGAUGUCUUAAUAAUAUGGCUAUUAAUGGUGAGUUUGUCUUUGAAUCAAUGUGAAAUCCUUAGUAUUAUGGCCCACUGGGAGUUUCUUGCUCUUUCUCUCAUUUUAACUGUCUUUCUGAAAUACUAGAAUAUAUUCCAAGCAGUGACACCGUUUACUCUGCAUAUCGUUUAAUUAUUUUCAGAGUAUCUGGGAAAAGUCAAAUUCUCCAUUUAUUUUUAAAACUUACGUAUUCAUGAUGCUACAAUGCAUAGCAGAGAAUUAGACAGGCACUUCUAUUUAGUUUUUCCAAGUACACCUCCGCAUAAUAUUUGGGUAUUUCAUGAGCCCUAGCAUACUAAAAUUUGUAAUUUUCCAGCAUUUUCUUGGUCUGGCUACAUCCAUUGCUAAAUAGUUUUUGAAAUAUUAAAAGAUUAACAAGCUUGACUUGUAUUUUUCAGCUGACAUUAAGGUAAAGUUAUCUGAAAGAUGGGUGUCAGAUGUUUGGACAGGGGGCGCAAUUUCAGUGCUUGCCCUAGGCCCUAUUUUCCCUAGAUACGCCUCUGUGUUUAGGGCUUUAUAGGUUAUAACCAAAACCUUGUACUCUGCCCGGAAACUUACCAGCAGCCAGUGUAGAUGUUUUAAGAUAGGAGUGAUAUGGUCUCUCCGAAAUGACCCAGAGACCAAUCUGGCCUCCGCAUUCUGGACUAACUGCAGUUUCCGGACUAUGUACAAAGGCAGCCCCACAUAGAACGCAUUGCAGUAGUCAAGUCUGGAGGUAACCAGCAGAUGUACUACUGUUCUGAGGGCAUUUAUCUCAAAAAAUUGACGCAGCUGGCGUAUCAGCUGAAGCUGAUAAAAGGCACCUCUGCCUCAACCUGGGACACCAGGGACAGUUUUGUGUCCAGAAGCACCCCCAGACUGCGUACUUGUUCCUUCUGAGGAAGUGUGACCCCAUCCAGAACAGGCAGAUCAAAAUUAUUUCCCCAGUUCCGACCCCACACAAUAAGUACCUCUGUCUUAUCUGGAUUCAGUCUCAGCUUGUUACCUCUCAUCCAGCCAAUCACUGCCUCCACGCAGAAGGUUAUGCCUUCUCCUGAUGACAUUGACAUGGAGAAAUAGAUUUGGGUGUCAUCAGCAUACUGAUAACACCCUACCCAAAUCUCCUGAUGAUCUAUCCCAGCGGUUUCAUGUAGAUGUUAAACAACAUUGGAGACAAUAUGGAGCCCUGAGGGACACCAUACCGAAGUUCAGUUUUUGAAGAACAAGAGUCCCUGAGAGACACCAUCUGGAAUCUGCCCAAGAGGUAAGAAUGGAACCACUGCAAAGCAGUGCCUCCCACCCCCAACCCCCUCAGAUGCUCCAGAAGGAUACUAUGGUCGAUAGUAUUGAAAGCCACCAAGAGGUCGUUAUAUGGGGGAAGCAGCUAUAAAAAACAAUGGUGACCAGGUGAAUGGAAACUAAAGAUGGUACAGAAUGCAGCAGCCAGACUGAUAUCAGGAACUGCCCACAGUGUACAUAUAACAUCUGUCUUGAAGACACUGCAUUAGCUGCUAAACUGUUUCUGGGACAGGUACAACUCAAGCUACUCAACAGUUCAUGUCCUUCUGGCUUGCUUCUAGCUGACUCUACUUACCUGACUAGAUCAACUAGAAGGGCUCUGCUCUGUGCAAAGCUGCUGAUCAUGGAAGUGCCCACCAUCAUGAUUACAUGCUUGCCUCUACAUAUAAACACCAUAAUUGUGAGCUAUGUAGGAGGGAGAGUGAGGGGUAAAGAUCGAAGUUCUGGAGACAGGACUUGUAUUCCUGCUUCAGACAGAGUACGUGAGUACACAGUCCUGUUAAAAUAGCAUCAGAAGAGGGCUUUGUAUAAUCUGUGAACAGUGCACACAGGUACAAGUAUUCUACAUGUUAUAUGGGAUGCAGAUACAGAAAUAUACUUCCUAUCUGUACCAUGUAUUUGAAGAACCUAUACCCAGGUUCAGUUUUUAAAUGUACAUGUUUACAGACAUUCACACAAAAAUGUGUAUGCACGUACUGUACAGGCAUCUGAACAUAGGUGCAAAAUUAUAGCUCAGUUCAGACAUUAUACUGUACGAGUGCAUGGAUAUCUGUUCACUUGUCCAUGUGUUUGUAUGAAUGAUGUACCUGUUUCAUUUUAAAAGUGAACUUGGAUACAUGCCCUGCAAAUGCAUAGUACAGAUAGGAACUGUACUUCUGUAUCUGAGUUCAGCAUAACAUGUGAAUGACUAUACCUUAAGAUCUUCUUUGGAGGCCCUGCUCCAAGUGCCCCGCCAAAUGAAGUGAGGUGGGUGGUGUGUAGGAAUGAGGCCUACACUUCUUGGGUUUCUGUAAAUAAGCCCUUGUAUUGUAUCAUGUAAUAAUAUUCUCAAAUCUCUUCUUGUAAAUAAGCCCUAAUAAAUGAAUUGUGUUAUAUUCAUAAAAACUCUGCAGUACUGUACAUAUGAUUUCUGUGUUUGCAAAUCCCUGUGCAUGGAGAAGGAUGGAAGAGUCAAAAGUUUAUUCUUGGUUUCUGUAAUUUCACUUUUGGUUCAGCAAUUUGACUGUUGAUUUUUUGAGGGAAAGGAGAUUUCAAGAAAUGGAGGGAAUUUUUGUUUGUUCUAAUUGGAUGGCUAAAAAACUGUUGAUAUAUAUAUAUAUAGGGAGUGUUUUGAGAGGAGAGAGAGUGAAGUCAACAGAGUCCUAAGAGAGUCUUGAGAGAAAGAGGCCUGGAAGAUGGAGAAGUCGAGAGGACUAAGGAGUCCAAGAGUCAGAGUCCUGGAAGGAGAAGUCAAGAGAGUCUGCUGGAGCAAGACAGAGCUGGAGGUUGCAGAAGAAGGAAGAGAGUCUUGGAAGCCAGAGAAUUCAAGUCUGCUGGAGAAAAUCAGAGCUGAAGGUUGAAGAAGACAGAGAGGCUCUUCUCAUGAUCAGUGAGAAGGGCCUGGAUGGGGUUUGCAGGGAGAGCCCACUCUCCCCGCAGACGAUCAGUCAGCCAUCCCUGGGCGGCCACAGAGGCCCCCCACACAACUGCCGGCUCCGUCACGGAGCUGGCGGGGGCCUGGGAGUUUGGGGGCCGCAUGGCCCCCAGUAGUUCCAGCAUGCCCUGCAUGAGCUCGCAGGGCAUGCUGGAGAGACCCCUGAGCUGGGACACUGCUUUUUAGCCUCCUGGUUGGGGGUCUCCUUGUGAGUUGCCACGGCGUGGAGCUGUGCCGUGGCAGCACACAAUCCAGUAACCCCUGUUAAGCGGAGCGCUCAGUCCACUAACCUGGGCUAAGGGGAGGGGUGGUUUGGGCGAUUUGCUGCGAGAAGCCGCUCAGUUCCCGUGGCAGAACACGACUGCCAAAAAGCGGGCUAGGCUCCACUAGGCCGCUUUUUGGCGGACCUGAGAAUCGCCUCAGAGAGUGUUGGAAGAAAGUCUGCUGGAGAGAAAAACCCAACUGAAAUCACUAAGAAGAAAAAGAAGAGCCAGUCUGGAUUGAAAACAUUAUAUCGGGCAGUCUGCGCUGCCUGAAAUAACUGCCAGAGAGUUCGCCUGGGCUCUCAGUGGCCUGGCAUGGAAGGGAGGAGUCGCGCUGGGCUCAUCCGGAGCCCGAGCCAUGCCCCCUUGUGUGAGACAUCAUGCACACGGGCGUACGUGGAGGAGGCCGCCGAGCAGGGCUGGACCUAGGCCACUGCUUAGCUGGCUCUGUGCCUGCUGCUGAGGGUUUUCCUUUUACUUUUGAAGGGCUAUUGUAGUGGACCCAGCCAUACCAAAAGUCCACUUGGUGGCAGCGGUAAAAAGGUUAGAAGGAAUAGAGGGCUUUUCCUCCACAGGUGGCUGCUAGGGAGAGGGCCUUUUUGGUGGUUGCACCCCAUCAGGAUAAGGCAUAACCUCCCUAAAUGCUUGCCUGGAGACGGUGAUGGGCUGGAUGAGGGAUAACAAACUGAGACUGAAUCCAGACAGGACAGACUGUGUGGGGUUGGAACUUGGGAGAAUAUUUUGAUCAGCUGGUUCUGGGUGGGUUCACACUUCCCCAGGAGAAACAGGUAUGCAAUCUGGGAGUGUUCUGGAUCCAAACCUCUCCCUUGUGUCUCAGGUUGAGUGGCCAGAGGUACUUUCUAUCAGCUUUAGCUGAUAUGCUAGCUGUGUCCAUUUCUUGAGAUAAAUGACCUCAGAACAGUGGUGCAUUUGCUGGUAACCUCCAGACUGGACUACUACAAUGCACUCUAUGUGGGGCUGCCUUUGUAUGUAGUCCAGAAACUGCAGUUGGUAAAGAAUGUGGUAGCCAGGUUGGUCUCUAGGUAAUCUUGGAGAGACCAUAUUAUUCCUGUAUUGAAAGAGCUACCACUGGUUGCUGAUAAGUUUCUGGGCAAAAUACAAUGUGCUGGUUUUAACCUAUAAAGCCCUAAACAGCUUAGGCCUUUGGUAUUUAAGAGAAUGUCUUCUUCAACAUGAGCCCCACCACCCAUUUAGAUAAUCUGGAGAAGUUCAUCUGCAGGUGCCACCAGCUCUUCUGGUGGCUACUCAGGGAUGGGCCUUCUCCGUUGCUGCCCCAAGGCUUUGGAAUGCGCUCCCUGCUGAAAUAAAAGCUUCCUCAUCUCUGAUCACUUUUAAAAAGGCAGUUAAUACAUAUUUGCUCACCCAGGCUUUUAAUUAGAGUUACAGUUUUUAACAUUGUGUUAAAUUUUAAAUCAUUUUAAAUGUUUCAACAUUUUAAUUUUAAUUUGUAUUGUUUUAUUGUAAACUGCCCAGAGACAUAGGUUUUGGGAGGUAUAUAAAUAUGUUAAAUAAAUAAAUAGAAUUUAUAGAACAGCCUUCCCAGUGAGGUUUGCCUUUCACCAUCACUUUGUUCUUUUAGAUGCCAGGUUAAGACCUUUCUGUUCACUUAGGCUUUUUAAAAUUGAUUUUUUUAAAACCAAGUUUUUAAUUUUAUUUAUUUAUGUGGCAUGUUGUAAUUUGAUGUAUGUUUAUUGGAUGUUUUAAUGUUGUGUUGUGAGCCAUCCAGAAAACAAUUUUUUUAUGGGGCGGCUAACAAAGUUCAUUGAUUAUCAUCAUCAUCUGAAUCUUUACAUCAUCACUGUACACUCAUUGUAUGAGUGUUGAACACGUGUCAAUGGGCCUCAUGUCUUCAGCAUCACAUGUAUUUCACUGCUUGUAGCCAUACAUUCCUUGUUAACCCCUUCAGCUACUGUAAAUAAAUGUAGUAAAUAAUAAAUACCCUAGCAUUUCCAAUACCA